rnacentral:lncRNA from 1 species
AUUUGUUUAUUUAUAUAAGUAUACUGUAGCUGUCUUCAGACACAUCAGAAGAGGGCAUCAGAUCUCAUUAUAGAUGGCUGUGAGCCACCAUGUGGUUGUGGGAUUUGAACUCAGGACCUCUGGAAGAACAGUCAGGGCUCUUAACCGCUGAGCCAUCUCUCUAGCCCCAGAUUCAGUUCUUACCACCCACAAGGCGGCUCAGAAAGAGUCAUUGUGCCUCGAGAGCAAGGCCAUCCAACACCUCUCCUGACUCUUCUGGGCUCCAGAAUGUGAGUGGUGCACAUAUACACACUCAGGUGCUCACACAUACACAAUAAACACGCAAACAAACAAAUCUUUUUUUAAAGCAGCAAACUCAAACUCACCUCAGGGCUAGUUUCUAAGAGGGUUCAGUAAGUCAUAAGGAUGAUGGGUUCAGGACAAUAAUGUUUAACCCUUCUGAGGCUUUGUAAAAACCUGAUGACAACAGGAAAUAGGGCCAUAGGUGGAAAACAAUUUUUUUGUUUUGUCUGGAUUGGUUAGGUUUUUUGGUUUUGUUUUAAAUGUUUAUUUAUUUUAUGUAUAUGAGUGCACUGUAACUGUACAGAUGGUUAUGAGCCAUCAUGUGGUUGCUGGGAAUUGAAUUUAGGACCUCUGCUCACUCUGGUCCAAAGAUUUAUUUAUUAUUAUAUGUAAGUACACUGUAGCUGUCUUCAGACACACCAGAAGAGGGCAUCAGACCUCAUUAUGGAUGGUUGUGAGCCACCAUGUGGCUGCUGGGAUUUGAACUCAGGGCCUUCGGAAGAGCAGUCAGUGCUCUUAACCGCUGAGCCAUCUUUAUGGAUCCUUUGUUUCUUAAGACAGGGUCUCUCUAGUAGCCCUGCUUGUCCUGGAAGUCAUUCUAUAGAUAGGACUGGCUAGAACACACAGAGAUCAACCUGCUUCUGCCUCCUGCUGUUGGUGAAGGGUGUGCACCACCGGGCCUGGUGGAAAGCACAUUGUAAAAUGCAAAAUCGUCUGCAAAAGCAAUAAACACUGGCCAAUGAUGAUGACGUUAUGCUAAGUCCCAGAGAACAAGGAAGCCUGUCCUCCCAGGAUGGGCCACAAGAGGGCGCCCUAUGCCCCUAACCUGAGUCACCAGCCCUUUGUACCACGUUUCCUGGAGCAACCGCCCGCCCUUCCUCCUUUUUGUGCUCGUGGAAGCCAGCAGAGGGUGUAGGGUCUCCUGGAGCCACAUCUCUGGAGUUACAUGAAGUUGUGGACCUCUCAACAUGGGUUCUGGGAACUGAACCCAGGUCCUCUGGAAGGACAUCGAGUGCUCUUAACCACUGAGCCAUCUCUGCAGCCUAACCCCAUCCCUUGGAGGCUGAAGCAAAGCAAGUUCAAUGACCGCGACCUGGCUCUUGUUUGGGCCUAAGGAAAAGCCGACUGUAAGCCGGGAAGCAUCUCUGGCAAGAACAAGGAAGGAUUAAGCACGUCUGUGGUUGUGCGCAGGGAUCACAAGGUGCUCCUGCAGUGGGAAGAGCCACCACUAGGGGCGCUCCAAGUCUUGUAUUUUCUACCUUGAAAACUCGUUUCCCUGUGGCUGCCCUCCAAAUCCAACGGAGAUGAAUGGCUUUUAGUUUACCUAGCUGAUUUAAUAAACUUUAAAAAUAAAUGUACGAAUG